rnacentral:rRNA from 2 species
UUAAUUUGAGAGUUUGAUCCUGGCUCAGGACGAACGCUGGCGGCGUGCCUAAUACAUGCAAGUCGAACGAACUCUGGUAUUGAUUGGUGCUUGCAUCAUGAUUUACAUUUGAGUGAGUGGCGAACUGGUGAGUAACACGUGGGAAACCUGCCCAGAAGCGGGGGAUAACACCUGGAAACAGAUGCUAAUACCGCAUAACAACUUGGACCGCAUGGUCCGAGUUUGAAAGAUGGCUUUGGCUAUCACUUUUGGAUGGUCCCGCGGCGUAUUAGCUAGAUGGUGGGGUAACGGCUCACCAUGGCAAUGAUACGUAGCCGACCUGAGAGGGUAAUCGGCCACAUUGGGACUGAGACACGGCCCAAACUCCUACGGGAGGCAGCAGUAGGGAAUCUUCCACAAUGGACGAAAGUCUGAUGGAGCAACGCCGCGUGAGUGAAGAAGGGUUUCGGCUCGUAAAACUCUGUUGUUAAAGAAGAACAUAUCUGAGAGUAACUGUUCAGGUAUUGACGGUAUUUAACCAGAAAGCCACGGCUAACUACGUGCCAGCAGCCGCGGUAAUACGUAGGUGGCAAGCGUUGUCCGGAUUUAUUGGGCGUAAAGCGAGCGCAGGCGGUUUUUUAAGUCUGAUGUGAAAGCCUUCGGCUCAACCGAAGAAGUGCAUCGGAAACUGGGAAACUUGAGUGCAGAAGAGGACAGUGGAACUCCAUGUGUAGCGGUGAAAUGCGUAGAUAUAUGGAAGAACACCAGUGGCGAAGGCGGCUGUCUGGUCUGUAACUGACGCUGAGGCUCGAAAGUAUGGGUAGCAAACAGGAUUAGAUACCCUGGUAGUCCAUACCGUAAACGAUGAAUGCUAAGUGUUGGAGGGUUUCCGCCCUUCAGUGCUGCAGCUAACGCAUUAAGCAUUCCGCCUGGGGAGUACGGCCGCAAGGCUGAAACUCAAAGGAAUUGACGGGGGCCCGCACAAGCGGUGGAGCAUGUGGUUUAAUUCGAAGCUACGCGAAGAACCUUACCAGGUCUUGACAUACUAUGAAAAUCUAAGAGAUUAGACGUUCCCUUCGGGGACAUGGAUACAGGUGGUGCAUGGUUGUCGUCAGCUCGUGUCGUGAGAUGUUGGGUUAAGUCCCGCAACGAGCGCAACCCUUAUUAUCAGUUGCCAGCAUUAAGUUGGGCACUCUGGUGAGACUGCCGGUGACAAACCGGAGGAAGGUGGGGAUGACGUCAAAUCAUCAUGCCCCUUAUGACCUGGGCUACACACGUGCUACAAUGGAUGGUACAACGAGUUGCGAACUCGCGAGAGUAAGCUAAUCUCUUAAAGCCAUUCUCAGUUCGGAUUGUAGGCUGCAACUCGCCUACAUGAAGUCGGAAUCGCUAGUAAUCGCGGAUCAGCAUGCCGCGGUGAAUACGUUCCCGGGCCUUGUACACACCGCCCGUCACACCAUGAGAGUUUGUAACACCCAAAGUCGGUGGGGUAACCUUUUAGGAACCAGCCGCCUAAGGUGGGACAGAUGAUUAGGGUGAAGUCGUAACAAGGUAGCCGUAGGAGAACCUGCGGCUGGAUCACCUCCUUUCUAAGGAA